rnacentral:tRNA from 1 species
GGUUGGCUCAGUGGUAGAGUGCUUGCCUUGCAUGCAUGAAGCCCUGGGUUUGAUUCCUCAGCACCA